rnacentral:rRNA from 1 species
UACGUAGGUGGCAAGCGUUGUCCGGAAUCACUGGGCGUAAAGGGCGCGUAGGCGGUUAAUUAAGUCAGAUGUGAAAUAUCCGGGCUUAACCUGGAGGGUGCAUCUGAUACUGGAUAACUUGAGUGCAGGAGAGGGCAGUGGAAUUCCUAGUGUAGCGGUGAAAUGCGUAGAUAUUAGGAGGAACACCAGUGGCGAAGGCGGCUGCCUGGACUGUAACUGACGCUGAGGCGCGAAAGCGUGGGGAG